rnacentral:lncRNA from 1 species
GGAGCACAAGCAGAGGAGGUAUGGGGGGGAUACAAUGAGAGCGAGAGAGAGAGAGAGCGCAAGAGCAAGGAGAGAGAGAGAGAGAGAGAGAGGGAUGGAUGGAGGAAGGGAGGGAGGGAGGGGAUUGGAGUGAGUGAGUGUGUGAGAGUGUAUGCAGCUUGCGGUGCCCCUGCUGUGGAAUUACAGCAGGAGAACGUUGUUGGGGACCUGGAGGAGAGCAGUUAGAGGAGGAAGAAGAGGAGGAGGAGGAACCGUGGAGAACCAGUUGACCAACUGGACUGGACUGGACCGGACUGGGCCAGGGCUUGGGAGGACCACCGGUCAUCUGGGACUGGGAGAAAGGGAUAGAGAAAAAGAGAGAGAGAGAGAGAGAGAGGGGCAGUGUGUGUGUGUGUCUUUUUCUCAGAUCAGCUCGGCCUGUGGCUCCCUAUUCCAGGGGUCGUCUGUCUCCUCAUGGUUUGAGUGGCCAAAAGUGGACCUCUGAGGCGGAGUGGACUUUAUCUGACCUACGGCCUUCAACGUCAGCUUGCCCUUAAGAAUCGGGAUCUGUGGUCCGUCCUGCAUCGUAGACGUGAUGCUCGAGACGGAGGUCUAGCUCUAGCUGUCUGCUCUUCGGAGAACAGAGCUCUCCUGCAGGAAGUUUUGAGUAGAUGUCACCACUAUUAGGAAACUGACCUUUCCGUUUCGCAGGAUUGGGCUCCAUCAUUGUUUACCGGGCCUGGAUGCUCGUUUCAGACCAGUUUGACCUGUCUGAAGUGUCUGGCCGGGAGACGGCAACUUCCAAAACAUUCGCCUGACCUUUAAUCAAGCGGAGGCUUCGUCAUGUGAUCGUAGCUGAAGCCAGGUUCCUCUCAGAGUUCCCUUGCCCGCUCGCGGAGUGGACAGUCGUGCGGCGAGAUCGGGGCCGACAGGAGAGGCGAAAACAGCGAAAAAACAGCUAGUGCUGACCGGGCCCGGGAGUGUGUGAAGUGUUUGGGUGUGUGUCUGCCACCAUGGGCGAGGGAGGAGGCUGGAGACUAACAGGAAGAGGCAGCUAAAUGUUAGCACUAACUUUGGAGGCCAGGUGUUACAUAGAGGUGUGAGGAAGUGAGGGAGCGAGCGAGUGGCAGGCAGCGAGUGUGUGGGUGGGCGAGAGUGUGUCCGAGUGUGAACAAGCUGAUGGACAUUGCGGCGUGUAUGUGUAUGUGUGUGUGUGUGUUUGGCUGAUCUGAUUGGCGUUCGCCGGUGUGGUGUGAUGUUGGAGGCCAGGCUGAGGGAACAUCUGGAGGAACAAUAGGUUCCACUUCCAUCUUCAGUUCAUUCUAUAGUCUUGCGAGGCAUCAUCGCUCUUCGGUGAGGCUGCUGGGGAGUGAGGUAGGCCUGCAGUAGUGUUAACGAGGCUAGUGAUUUGGCUAGUGCUCCUCAGGCUUCGGUUAAGGACUCCCAACUUGCCGUAUUGGAUUAUUACACCACCGUUUCUGAGGUUGAGAAGCUGUAGACCCCUG